rnacentral:rRNA from 1 species
UCAGGAUGAACGCUAGCGACAGGCCUAACACAUGCAAGUCGAGGGGCGAGCACAAGGAGCAAUCUGAGGUGGCGACCGGCGCACGGGUGAGUAACACGUAUGCAACCUGCCUGUAAGCGGGGAAUAACCCGUUGAAAGACGGACUAAUACCGCAUAAUACUAAAUUACUGCAUGGUAAUUUAUUUAAACAUUUAUGGCUUACAGAUGGGCAUGCGCAUGAUUAGCUAGUUGGAGAGGUAACGGCUCCCCAAGGCAACGAUCAUUAGGGGUUCUGAGAGGAAGGUCCCCCACACUGGUACUGAGACACGGACCAGACUCCUACGGGAGGCAGCAGUGAGGAAUAUUGGUCAAUGGACGAGAGUCUGAACCAGCCAAGUCGCGUGCAGGAAGAAUGUCCUAUGGAUUGUAAACUGCUUUUGCAGGGGAAUAAAGUGCAUCACGUGUGAUGUUUUGUAUGUACUCUGCGAAUAAGGAUCGGCUAACUCCGUGCCAGCCGCCGC